AUAAUAUGGCGACUUCACAGAACACAACGACGAAUUAUAUAGAAAUUCAACAACAAAAAAGUAAAGAAGACUUUGAUCGGGCAGUUCAAGAGGCCAUUAGAAGACAGAUGCCGGAUAUACUAAAGGAACUAAGGGAAGACUUACGUCGAGAGACGAUUGAGGUAAUUUUUUAACAUUAGCCACGGAUUUUGGCCGUGGCUAAUCCUUAAUUGGCCGUGGCUAAUAUUUAGCCACGGAAAACCAUUUCCGUUGCCAAAAAACAGUAGCCAC
rnacentral:lncRNA from 1 species